UGAAUACAUACAAUCAAUAUUGUAGAUAAAUGUAGUCGUUAUACGGGAAAUUAGAUUUUAUUUGAUUGGUAAUUAUUAAAAUCUCUAUUACAGGACGAGAACAUCACAGACAUUCAAAAAAGAUGAUUUCAAAAUAUCAGUCGCGACACCCUCGCCGCUCGCGCCAUCUCACUAAUUAUCUACGGAGAACAAGCGACGCUAACUAGUGCCAACCAUUGUGAUGCUGCGGGAGAGAAGGGCAUGAUCUGGCGAGUCAUCGUUUAUCUUAUGAUAUCAUUGUGACAGUCGUAACGUCCGCUAGCUAGUACCACAAGAGCGCAGUUGUCCGCUCUGCUACAGGCGCAGUGUCCGGCGCAUGAUGUGCGGCGGCGGAUCUGUGCUGUGAGUUGUGACGGCUGAUUAAAUUAUUGGAACGGUCUGGGGGCCAUUCAUCAUCCACGCUUCCCUGCCACCUCAUCGCCGAUAAUGACACACGGCGAUACCAUGGGCCACUCCUGUGCACCUGACGACAACUGGAGCGGAUUUCGAAAAUAAUUCUUCAAUGCCACACCACUUCUUUUAGUCAUUUAGCUGGAAGAACAAAUGGAAAACUUAUGCCUAUAAAAAUGUAUCAACUCGCAGAAAACAUAACAUGUGACACAUUUUUUUGUUUGUGAUAAAAUGAUAGAGCAUAGUAAUUUGAUAGUUCUCAGGAACGCAAACGACUUCUGAGUUACGGGAAACAUUGAACUCUAAAGAUUUCGAUUUGAAAGUCCCCUAGCUACACAGGUUUCUGGUAGCCGGCGCUACGCAGCGCGGUGGAGUCGGUUGAUUUGUGUUACACCUCGCGCCAGGUGUCACAAAUAUCGCGGUGUCAGCGACAGCGCUCCGCCGCGUAAUGAGAGCGCGACAGUCGGGAUUGAUUGCAGCAGUCGCGUGCAUCGGAAUCAUUUCCGCUCGGAAGUUGUAAGCUCGCUCGCUCGCUCGUCGGCACCGCGCGUGUUCAUCUCAGCGCGAACGCGUGACGCGUAUUGAUACCGCUCCGAGCCCGCGAUGUCACGAAUUCGCCGGAAACAUUUAUUUGCACGAUCGCUGAUAAUAUGUUACUGGGUUAAUUUUAACACCUAUUGCUAUUUUGUUGCUCUCUAAACAAGUAAAUGCAUCAUGUAUUCAUAUAUUUAACUAUAAAAUAAGUCAAACUGUAAAGUCAAGUUUCCGUCGUAGUACUAUAACUGCUGGCGUACGUGCUAGGCUGUGGACGUAUUAGGCUGGGAGCUAUUCCACCUGGACGGGGAUCGAACCUACGGCCUCUCGGUGUUCUCUCUUAUGCAUAACCGUCUGCCACCGCGGCCGGCGAGUGACGUCACAGCGCACAGGUGGAUAGUACACACUGUGUUGCUGCAUGUUAAAGCAAAGUUCGAUUGUGUUCUCUAAUUUUUCUAGUAACAGCUGCUUUACAUUGUGUGACAAGAGUAGUAUUUGUGUAACUUAAGAAACCUCUGUAUACCAAAGGAUAUUUUUAAUACUUAUAGCUUUUGCCGAUGCCAAUUAUCGUCUGGCGGUAGCCAUCAGCAGCUGUGGUUACUUACCGCCCUGCCGACAAAGACGUACCGCCAAGCGAGUUAGUGUUCCGGUACGAUGCCGCGUAGAAACCGUUAGAGGUAUCGGUAGAAUAAAAUUGUACCUCUUAAAAGUAAGCCCACUUCAAUCUUAUACGGCAUCGUCACUUAAUAUUAGGUGAGAUCGCAGUCAGUUGCAACUAACCCGAGGCCCAGACCUGUUUUCAAACAACAAAAUACACAGGCACGGGAAACCCACAUUUGAGCCACUUUCAUAACUCUCAUUAGAGUCGAAGCAAAAAGCUAAACUAUUCUCAAAACUGUCUCCUACAAAUUCUGUUUUGUAUAAACAGUUGUUGUGUGCACAAACCAUGUACCUACCCCUGCAUUGCAUAUCACUGCUCCAGUUCGUACUACGACACAGUUAAUUAUCUCGCAAGUAAUCAUUUAAGUCAACUAUCAAUAAAUAUCUAACCCGCUCAUACUGUUUGACUAAAUCUUACAAAAUAUAUUAUUAAUAUCUCUGUAAUACCCGCAGUGUCUCGAAUACCUUCAGAGCAUUUGUAAAGAAGUCCAUUGGUACAGUUAUUGCGACGGCGGUGGUAAUCUCUCAGUUGAGCGACGAGCUCAUUCACUGGAGCCGGUCAGCUCCCGGAGAUUAGCUCUCACAUUCGUCUCUAAGCCUGUCCACAGUAACCCGUUGACUCAUGUUAUGAAGUCGUAAUAAAGAUAUCCUAGACGGCUUGUGUUACACUAAGUACAUAUUCUUAAGACUGUAGUCAGCAAAAUAAAAGUAUUUAUUUGUUUGAUUGACAAGUAGUUAAACUUGCUAUUGAAAAUUAUAUUUAGUUUUAAUCAAUUACAAACUUUCUACGUAAAUCCCCUUUUCUUUAUCAAUUUACUGAUAGAAAAAAGUAUUAGGAAAUAUGUUACCUUACCAGUGACUUUAUGAAUAUAUUUUAUCGAAGGUUGUCUUUGUUUCUUUGUCUAACUUUAUUUAAAUUUUAUUUAUUUAAUAGUUUAAUCACGCUGUUGUAAUCGUAAAUAAAAGUAAUACAGUGAAAAGAUUUAGCGUGGGUCCCGAAGGUGGUCCCAAAUAAAUUACAAAUAUAAUAAUUAUGUAGUAGACGCAAUUAAUCCAUCUAAACCAAGUUUAAUUUUUUUUAUUUCAUUUAACUUAUAACCAAAUUAAAGAUACGCAAAGUGUCUUCGAAAAAGAAACCUUUUUCAAGUGACGGAGGGUUUGAGAGAGGCUCGCUAAGGAGGCUGUACAUUGUACAGUAGGACUCAAACGGCGAGGAAUGCGCUGAAUUAAUCGUCGAGCGUUUUAUUAAAAGAGUCAACAUUCUCGGCCGUACAUCCCGGGCCGGGGCCAGGGCCGGGGCCAGGCGGAGUUACUCACAAUUCUCGUUUAGAAUUAAACGGAUUAAAACUUGUUUAGUGUCCAAAUAACUGAUUAUGUUCCGAGCGGAGGGCGCUGAGAAGGGUUGUUAGCUCGAAGGGUACGAAAUCUAUUUAACUGACAAAAAUGUAACGGAGCGGCGGAAGCUCCGCUUUCAGCGAACUUUGUAAAUUAGGGGAUGAAUGCUUUCGAAUUUUUUCAACAAUUCUUGUCUAUACUUGUAGAUUAAUGUUAAUUUGUUAUUUCAGAAAAAAAAACAUGUUAGCGGGUUGCGGUGUAACCUAAACUAAAUGUAAAGUGAGAAACUUACUACCAGAACGAUAAGGAUAUUCAGGAAGUCCGUUUUCUUCUGUAUGCAGUGAUUUGCUUAUAUCUAAUUGAUUAAUGUCAAUUAAAAUAACCUCGUUUCAGUUAAUCAUUGCACUGUGUUAUGGACUGUUUUUAAAAGCUUUUAUUCAAUUGCAGUGUAGGUAUAUAUUACGGUGGAUUUUUUGAAUUCAAUUUUGAAGUAGAUAUCUUCAACCGAUUGUUCGUGCCACAGCUGAUGGAGCGAUCGGAACGAAAUACCGACUUAUUUCAAUGGGACGAUUGAAUCUUUAAUUUGGCAUAUUUUGCCGUUAUUAGAAUAAAAAUUAUUGGAAUUGAAUUCUUGAGUUCGAAUUCGACUACGUGAAUCAAUUUGACCGCUCAUAAAAUUAGGAAGUGAAAAAGAGAAGAUAUUAUAAU